AGAGUUUGAUCAUGGCUCAGGACGAACGCUGGCUGCGUGCUUAACACAUGCAAGUCGAACGCUGAAGCCCGCAGCUUGCUGUGGGUGGAUGAGUGGCGAACGGGUGAGUAACACGUGAGUAACCUGCCCCCGACUUCGGGAUAAGCCCGGGAAACUGGGUCUAAUACCGGAUAUGACAACCGAAGGCAUCUUUGGUUGUGGAAAGUUUUUUCGGUUGGGGAUGGGCUCGCGGCCUAUCAGUUUGUUGGUGAGGUAAUGGCUCACCAAGACGACGACGGGUAGCCGGCCUGAGAGGGCGACCGGCCACACUGGGACUGAGACACGGCCCAGACUCCUACGGGAGGCAGCAGUGGGGAAUAUUGCACAAUGGGGGAAACCCUGAUGCAGCGACGCAGCGUGCGGGAUGACGGCCUUCGGGUUGUAAACCGCUUUCAGCAGGGAAGAAGCCCCUUGGGGUGACGGUACCUGCAGAAGAAGUACCGGCUAACUACGUGCCAGCAGCCGCGGUAAUAC
rnacentral:rRNA from 1 species